rnacentral:lncRNA from 1 species
UAGGAUUAUUUUUUAUGCCAGUGGAUCAUGUCUGUGCUCCAACAAUCGAGCGUUAUCUGUAAUGUUGAAAACGACAAACAAAUGUAGUUUAAAUUGUUGCAAAGGAAUACAAUGACUUGUGAACACUAAGCAGUGAUGCUACCUCAACAGACCUGAUGUGCACUUUUCAGGGAUAAAACAGGACACAUUUUUCUUAACAAAAUAGAGAAUUGCCUACUGCAUCCCAGAACACUACUGUUAAGAGUGAUGCAAAUAAUUGGCAUAAUGUACAUCUGUAUUUAAUGCUUUCCACUUGUGAUCCAUUUCUGUAAACACGGUCUUAUAAGCAAAGGGAUUGGGGUUACUUUACUACGAGUAGUACAGAUCAUUUAUUUUGUGUAAAAGUAAUGAUAGGCAUUAAUAGUGUUAGAUUAGGGCAGGAUGGUUUAAUUGUUUUGUUUUUUCACCUAUGUGAUAUAUUAUCUUUUUUUUGCAUUUGGGAUUAUUUAUUAUUUUCUGAACAGUCAUACAGUCGCUUCUGUUCAUUUAAUUUCUGCUUUGUAUUGGUAUAUACUGUAUACCUGGCUGAGCUUCGGAACCCAGAGGACAUACAGUUUCAAAGUCAUUGAAUGCAUUACUGUUAAAGCAUCUUUUGUCAUUAAAAGCAGUACCAAUGUGAGUAUCUAUCUUAUUUUCCUUCUUUGCACUUUAAAUAUGACGGUGGCAUUUGUCCUGCCUGUGCAGCCUGUUGACCAGAGCAUGUUGACACUUUUUUUGCAAGACCUGUGUAAACUACAAACACUCUAAAUGUAAGAAGUCUGACUGUCAGAAACACUCUUGUGAGAUGAGAUUAUAUGAGCCUCCAGAAUGGGUUCUGGAUGAAAAAGUACUCUUAUUAAUGGUAUAUAAACUGCAUAACACUGUUAAUUUAUGGUCCUGCUUUGUUUUACCUACACAGCCUGCUGAUGGAGAAAUACCUGGAAUAAAGCUUGUUGCUGCUCAUCUACCUUUUUCAUCGUUGAGGCCUGAUCAAACUCAUCUAUUUUCACCUGUGGUGCAGACCUUCAGGAACAGAUUCCACCUGUUGGAGCUUGCUCGAGCUCAUCCAUCUUCACCUGUAUCCCACACUUCCAAGACCAAUCCGAACUACAAAAACCACUGCUGCUAGAACUUUGACUGUCCAUGAUGGUCUUGUGAGAUCACUUUCCUUAAUUUUUUAAAGGUGCGUUAUCAGUGUUCAUGCACAUUUUGGGCUUGUUUGUGCUUUUGUUAAUACACUAUACAUUCCCACUAUGUACUUUUCCGUUCUAAUUCACUAUUCUGUCUGUUCUAGUGUGUUGCGGUGACUGGAUUGGUUGCCUGGACUCUCCUCAUGGUUAACCCGCCAGCACCACAUCACCAUUUUAUGUUUUAAUUGUUUUUUUGUUUUACAUUUGUUUUGUUUUGUUUGUUUUUUAGCACUUUGGUGACCAAUUUAAUAUGAUGUGCAUGUAUUUACCUGUAUGUCAAUUAUGGCACCCACUCCUGACCAUCCCUAGAAGAAGGGAUCCCCUACUAUGCGUUUCUUCUCAAGAUUUCUUCCUUGCUUAUUUCAAGGGAGUUUUUUCUUGCCCUUGUAGGGGCUUGGGUAAAGGGGGGUGUCAUAAAUAUUUUACCUGUUAAGCCCUUUGUAAUGGUGAUUAAGGGCUAUACAAAUAAACUUGAAUUGAAUUGUUGUUCCUUAAGAUUCCAUUAGUUUGUAUAGUAUCUACGAUAUCAUGUCACAAGAUGGAUAAGACAACAUAACAAUGUUGUA